rnacentral:misc_RNA from 1 species
CCAAGCUCCAGUUCUUAUUAAUCGUCUGACCAGCCAAUUUGGUGCAGAUUUAACCAUGUGUCAAAAUACAAGAAUGAAAGGUCAAAUAUUAAGGGGUAAUUUACCCUUAAAAUAAAAAUUUAAAUAUCUCAACGGCAACUCAAUGCUGCCAAAUUUUUUGGAAAAAAAUAGUUUGUACGAGACAAUCAGUAUAGCUAGACUAUGCUUUCCUUCUUUUCUUUUCCAUUAGCAAACUGAUGUAGCAAUUUAAUAUGCAUUUCCGAAAAUAAAUGUUUAUAAUCAAUAAUCACCAUAAAUACAGACGGCAGGAACAAAAUUCUUUCUUACAUCAUUUUGCAAUUCUCAAACCUACAUGCUAAGACGGUAUAAUGGUAACAUUAAACAGUUCCUUCUACCGCCCAACACCUCUCAACCAGCUUCUGCAAAUCAUCAACACUAAAGCUUCUCAGUAAUGGCCAUGACCAAAAGAAUUGUAAUGUUUCCCUCCCAAAUUCAGAGAGAUCUCUGUCGUGCUGAAAAAAUAGUAUGAGACGUGUUAUUAAUCUCCAGAGGCUUCUACUUCUGUGAGUGGAAACUUCCUCCGAUACAGAAAUACAACUUAAACAGCCAUUAUUGCAUUCUUAUGCAACCUGCAAUGCUAGAGCUGGUCAGGAAGGGCUGGUGAAUAGAACAAAACCAAAACUUUUGUGGCUUACCCUGAAAUAUUUGAUUCUGGACAUCCUCACGUGGACUUUACAAAGGCACAUUAGGCCUAAGGGUCAAUGGAUUAAAACAACUGGACUUGGAGAUGCACUAUAGUUUCCGUAUUAACGAUCACCUGUAAAACUGUGUUAUCUUUGAUUUACAUACAUAGGGAAAGUGAAAAAACGAGCAGCUAAUUCUGUACAGUGAACUAAUAUUUUAUAAGGGCAGGGAGGCUAGCGUGAAGCUCUGCCAAGCAUCGAAAGAUCCAAUUUAGCAGCUGUUCUCUUGGUAGCUCCAGAAGAAGUUCUGCCUUUAUUUGAUCCCCAUCAAAAACCAAAGAGUUUUGAUGAACAUCCGAUGCCAUUGAAUCUAUCAUCAGCUUGAAAGCCUUUUUACUCAUAUUCGUUUUCAUGCCAACUAUUUUUCCAGAAGUAUAAAUUCUUGUUAUCCCGAGAUCUGAUGCCAUUCUCCUAACAUAAAGCUUCUUUAACAGAAUUUCCAUGGAGUAAGGCUCUUUUCCAUAUUGGCUGCGCAGACUCUCUGUAAAUUGCAUCAAACUCCAGAUAUCUUUCUCUGCAGCUUUCUCAGCUUCACUAAUAAUUUCCAUGGGGUUAUCUAGAUGAUUUAUGUACUCAGAAGGGAGAUGAGGGUUUACAUUUAAAUCAAUCUGUUAUUAAAAAAAGAAAAUUUAAUUUUAGUUAAAUUCACAUCCAUGUUCUUGAACUCAUGAUAAUUGCCAUGUUGGAUUUUAUUGGAUUUUAUACAUUAAUAACAAUGGAAAUUGAAGAUUCAAUGAGAUUUGGAUGUUUCUUCAAUAGUUUCCAUCCUAGAUCCUAACAUUUAUGCAGAUGUAGUUCACAUUAAGAUCACCAAAUAUUCAAUUUUCAGAUGGUAUACAUCCCAGGAAGCAACAAAGUACCUGUACAGACUGGUAAGGCACUGAAAUUACACGGUGUUCUUCAACCUGAAAACCUUAAGGCAAGAGGGUUAUGGGAAGUGAAGGUUGAAAAGUAGAAGCAUGGCAGUUGAAACUAAUGAUAUUUGAAUCACAAGCAUUGUCCUAGAUAUAUUGACCUGGAUUGCUAUCUUUUUAGGUGCAGAAAAGUGUAUGUUAUGUCAUCUGUCCACUUAACACAGCAUAAAAAAAUCUACACACUUCUUUUCAUUAUCGUGUGAAAAAAUAAUCAGCAUACCUUGGAUAAGCUCUCGAAGAGCAUUUCAAAGAAGAGGUCAAUGCCAACAUUCCCGACAUCCCCAGUCUGUUGCUCACCAAAGAUGGUGCCAAAGCCUCUUAUACCCAUGUCUCUCUCUGCAAGUUGGAAACCUUGGCCAAGUUCUUUGCAUUGUUCGAGAGCUUUAAGCCUCUCCAACGCUUGAUCAGACAGCAGUGACUUAUCAAGGUAAAAUAAGUGUGCAUAAGCCUCCUUAUCAGCACGGCCCACUCUUCCACGCAACUGAUACAAUUGCGCUAGGCCAAAUUGUUGAACAUCCUGAAUUAUGAUGGUGUUUGCGUUUUGGAUGUCAAGCCCACUUUCCACUAUGUUUGUGCAUAUGAGAAUCUUAAUUUCACCAUGUGCAAAUUUCUCCAUGGUGUCUUCAAGCUGCUUUGAAUAUUGCUUCCCAUGUGCAAUAGCUAUUUCAACAUUUGGGAAUGCCUGUUCAAGAAAAUCCAUCACUUCUUCAAGCCCUUUAAUGCGAGGCAAGACAUAAAAUACUUGGCCACUGCGGUCCAGCUCAUAUUUGAUUGCUAAUAUUACCUUCUCUUUACUGUAUGCUGAAAGAUAGGUCUUUAUAGGAACCCUUUCUGGUGGAGGAGUUGAAAUUAAACUUGCAUCACGAAAUCCAGUUAAUGCUAAAUAAAGCGUUCGAGGUAUAGGUGUUGCAGAAAGAGUGAGGACAUCAACUGAAGUCUUGAAAGAAGCAAUCUUUUCCUUCUGUUUGACACCGAACCUCUGUUCUUCAUCAACCACAAGAACGCCAAGAUUAUUAUACACAACACGACUUCCAAGAAGUGAGUGAGUCCCCACAAUAAUGUCCAAAUCACCAUGUUUAAUCAUGUCCAAAUACUUCUCCUUCUCUGCUUUGGUCUGAAACCGACUCAGAAGUCCAACCUUGAUACUAGGAUACUCGGAAAACCUUUCUGAAAUAACAUCAAAAUGUUGUUUGGCUAAGACAAUUGUUGGUGCUAAAACCAUAGCUUGCUUUCUUGCUGCAACCACACAAAAGAUGGCCCGUAAAGCAACUUCUGUUUUACCAAAUCCAACAUCUCCACAGAUUAACCGAUCCAUUGGAGUUUCUCUCUCAGUCAAAUCCCUCUCAACAUCCAUGAAAGCCUGCUUCUGAUCUGGUGUGGGGUCAUAAGAAAAUUGUGCAGCAAAUUCAGCCAUGGCAGGACUCUUUGGGUAGGGAGGUCUUUUUUGUUUCAGCCUAUGUAAAUACAGCUCCAUCAAGUCAACAACCAUUUUCUGUAUAGCAAUCUUUCCUUUAGUCUUUCUCCUCUCCCACGCACUAGUAUCAUUCAGUUUGCUCAACGUCCGAGGCCUUUUGUUUUCAUUUGGAAGAUUAUAACGAUAAAGCAUGCGAGAAGCCUGCUUAACAGGAAGUUUCGCCAUUCCAUCCGCAUAUUCAAUAAACAAAUACUCAAUAGGCUCAGCAGAACCCUUAGGAACAUCAAACCUAAUCCCAACGAAUCUCCCGAUUCCCACUUUCUUAUGCACUACAUAAUCCCCAGAACGAAGCGAAUAUGGAUCCACCUUGUAACUGAAAACGCCCCCUUCUUUUGCUUCCCUCUCUCCUUUCAGCUUCUGCAAUCCCCUCUGCUGCUGCUCCUUCACCAUCUGUAUAUACUUAUCAGCCUCUUUCGAGUCCAUUGCAGGUCUGGAGGAGGCCUCUCUCUUGCGGUAGUCGCGGCGAAUCCUCUCGUUAAGGAUGGAAAUAGGGUCCUGCUCGGUAUCAUUCUUUUCCCUCCGUUGCCCCAAUUCGGUGGUAGCAGUAAUGCCAAUUGUGGUGGGACUAGAAAUUGAAGCAGCUCGGGCGAAGACGACAUUAGAGAGGGAAAUUGAAACCUUGGACUUGUAAUUGCGAUUGUGGUGACGAGGGAAUUUGACAUUGAAGAGCUUCCGGAGCUUAGGAGAGGAGUUGAGUUUGAAGAUAAGAGGAGUGGAAAUGUCCAGAGAAGCCAUUGAAGACGAAGAGGAGGUAUGAAUUUAGUUUAAUUGGACUGUGAUGAGAAUGAAGAGAUUGCAGAAGUGGGACAUCAUGCAACGGUGGUGGUGAUGGAAGGGGCGGAGGCGCCACCUGGGCUGAAGUAAGAGAAGAAGAUAAUCAGUAAAAGGUUUUAGAGGGGGU